rnacentral:rRNA from 1 species
UAGUCCACGCCGUAAACGAUGAUAACUAGCUGUUCGGGCCCACAGGGCUUGAGUGGCGCAGCUAACGCAUUAAGUUAUCCGCCUGGGGAGUACGGUCGCAAGAUUAAAACUCAAAGGAAUUGACGGGGGCCUGCACAAGCGGUGGAGCAUGUGGUUUAAUUCGACGCAACGCGCAGAACCUUACCAGCUUUUGACAUCCUGGUCGCGGAUUUGGGAGACCAUUUCCUUCAGUUCGGCUGGACCAGUGACAGGUGCUGCAUGGCUGUCGUCAGCUCGUGUCGUGAGAUGUUGGGUUAAGUCCCAUAACGAGCGCAACCCUUAUCCUUAGUUGCCAGCGGGUCAUGCCGGGCACUCUAGAGAAACUGCCGGUGACAAACCGGAGGAAGGUAAGGAUGACGUCAAGUCAGCAUGCCCCUUACGCUCUGGGCUACACACGUGCUACAAUGGUCGUGACAAAGAGUUGCUAGUCUGCGAAGGCAAGCCAAUCUCAUAAACGCGG